rnacentral:tRNA from 1 species
AAGGCUUUAGCUUAAUAAAAGUGUCUGUUUUGCAUACAGGAGAUGUGGGGUAGUGUCCUGCAAGUCUUA